AUCUAGCUGACGAGUCUGAAAUAGGACGAAACGUGCGUCCUGGAU
rfam:Schistosoma rodhaini strain Burundi genome assembly, scaffold: SROB_scaffold0001341